rnacentral:tRNA from 1 species
GCGCCCUUAGCUCAAUCGGAUAGAGCGUCUGACUUCGGAUCAGAAGGUUGGGGGUUCGAGUCCCUCAGGGCGCG